rnacentral:rRNA from 1 species
UACGUAGGUGGCAAGCGUUGUCCGGAUUUAUUGGGCGUAAAGCGCGCGUAGGCGGUUUUUUAAGUCUGAUGUGAAAGCCCACGGCUCAACCGUGGAGGGUCAUUGGAAACUGGAAAACUUGAGUGCAGAAGAGGAAAGUGGAAUUCCAUGUGUAGCGGUGGAAUGCGUAGAUAUAUGGAAGAACACCAGUGGCGAAGGCGACAUUCUGGUCUGUUACUGACACUGAGGCACGAAAGCGUGGGUAGCAAACAGG